GACGAACGCUGGCGGCGUGCCUAAUACAUGCAAGUCGAACGAAGAAUUCUUCGGGAUUCUUAGUGGCGAACGGGUGAGUAAUACAUAAGCAACCUGCCCCUAUGUCUGGGAUAACUAUUGGAAACGAUAGCUAAUACCGGAUACGAGUAUUUCUGGCAUCUGAAAUACUUAAAAGAUGGGAUACAUCGCAAAGGGAUGGUCUCGCGUCUGAUUAGCUAGUUGGUGAGGUAACGGCUCACCAAGGCGACGAUCAGUAGCCGGUCUGAGAGGAUGAACGGCCACAUUGGGACUGAGAUACGGCCCAGACUCCUACGGAGGCAGCAGUGGGGAAUAUUGGGCAAUGGGGGAAACCCUGACCCAGCAACGCCGCGUGAAGGAAGAAA
rnacentral:rRNA from 1 species